CAAAAACAUUGCUUGUUGAUUUUUAUAACAAGUACUUUCUGCCCGGUGAAUUUUAAACGGCCGCGGUACUCUGACCGUGCAAAGGUAGCAUAAUCAUUUGUCCUUUUAUUGGGGGCUGGAAUGAAGGGGAUUACGAAAUUUUAACUGUCUCUUUUUUUGUUUGAAAUUUGCUAUUUUUGUGAAGAAGCAAAGGUUUUAAAAAAAGACAAGAAGACCCUAUUAAGCUUUAUUUGUUACAUUGUGAUUUAUUGCUUAUAGGUAAAUAAUCAUAAUCAUAAAUUUGGUUGGGGUGACCAAAGAAGAAAAAAUCUUCUUUAUUUAUUUUAACUGUAGGUUAAAAAAGGAUCCAAAAAAUUUUGAUUAUAAGACUAAGUUACUAUAGGGAUAACAGCGUAAUUUUUUCAAGGAGUUCAUAUUUAAGAAGAAGAUUGCGACCUCGAUGUUGACUUGUUAUUUCCUAAAAAGGUGUAGAAGUUUUAAGGGUUGGUCUG
rnacentral:rRNA from 1 species